CAACCGGGAUUCCCUUAGUAGCGGCGAGUGAAGCGGCAAAAGCUCAAAUUUGAAAUCUGGCACCUUCGGUGUUCCGAGUUGUAAUUUUGAAGAUUGUAACCUUGGGGUUGGCUCUUGUCUAUGUUUCUUGGAACAGGACGUCACAGAGGGUGAGAAUCCCGUGCGAUGAGAUGCCCAAUCCUAUGUAAGGUGCUUUCGAAGAGUCGAGUUGUUUGGGAAUGCAGCUCUAAGUGGGUGGUAAAUUCCAUCUAAAGCUAAAUAUUGGCGAGAGACCGAUAGCGAACAAGUACAGUGAUGGAAAGAUGAAAAGAACUUUGAAAAGAGAGUGAAAAAGUACGUGAAAUUGUUGAAAGGGAAGGUUUGAGAUCAGACUCGAUAUUUUGUGA
rnacentral:rRNA from 1 species